ACGCUGGCGGCGUGCCUAAUACAUGCAAGUAGAACGCUGAAGAGAGGAGCUUGCUCUUCUUGAAUGAGUUGCGAACGGGUGAGUAACGCGUAGGUAACCUGCCUUGUAGCGGGGGAUAACUAUUGGAAACGAUAGCUAAUACCGCAUAACAAUGGGUGACACAUGUCAUUUAUUUGAAAGGGGCAAUUGCUCCACUACAAGAUGGACCUGCGUUGUAUUAGCUAGUAGGUGAGGUAACGGCUCACCUAGGCGACGAUACAUAGCCGACCUGAGAGGGUGAUCGGCCACACUGGGACUGAGACACGGCCCAGACUCCUACGGGAGGCAGCAGUAGGGAAUCUUCGGCAAUGGGGGCAACCCUGACCGAGCAACGCCGCGUGAGUGAAGAAGGUUUUCGGAUCGUAAAGCUCUGUUGUAAGUCAAGAACGAGUGUGAGAGUGGAAAGUUCACACUGUGACGGUAGCUUACCAGAAAGGGACGGCUAACUACGUGCCAGCAGCCGCGGUAAUACGUAGGUCCCGAGCGUUGUCCGGAUUUAUUGGGCGUAAAGCGAGCGCAGGCGGUUUGAUAAGUCUGAAGUUAAAGGCUGUGGCUCAACCAUAGUUCGCUUUGGAAACUGUCAAACUUGAGUGCAGAAGGGGAGAGUGGAAUUCCAUGUGUAGCGGUGAAAUGCGUAGAUAUAUGGAGGAACACCGGUGGCGAAAGCGGCUCUCUGGUCUGUAACUGACGCUGAGGCUCGAAAGCGUGGGGAGCGAACAGGAUUAGAUACCCUGGUAGUCCACGCCGUAAACGAUGAGUGCUAGGUGUUGGAUCCUUUCCGGGAUUCAGUGCCGCAGCUAACGCACUAAGCACUCCGCCUGGGGAGUACGACCGCAAGGUUGAAACUCAAAGGAAUUGACGGGGGCCCGCAC
rnacentral:rRNA from 1 species